rnacentral:rRNA from 1 species
CUUACCUACCUUUGACAUGUACGGAAUUCGCCAGAGAUGGCUUAGUGCUCGAAAGAGAACCGUAACACAGGUGCUGCAUGGCUGUCGUCAGCUCGUGUCGUGAGAUGUUGGGUUAAGUCCCGCAACGAGCGCAACCCUUGUCAUUAGUUGCUACAUUUAGUUGGGCACUCUAAUGAGACUGCCGGUGACAAACCGGAGGAAGGUGGGGAUGACGUCAAGUCCUCAUGGCCCUUAUAGGUAGGGCUACACACGUGCUACAAUGGUUGGUACAAUGAGCAGCUACAUGGCAACAUGAUGCUAAUCUCAAAAAGCCAAUCUCAGUUCGGAUUGAGGUCUGCAACUCGACCUCAUGAAGCUGGAUUCGCUAGUAAUCGGAUAUCAGCAAUGAUCCGGUGAUACGUUCCCGGGCCUUGUACACACCGCCCGUCAAGCCAUGGGAGUUGGGGGAACCUGAAGUCGAUAAACCGC